rnacentral:rRNA from 1 species
AGUUCGUGGAGUGAUCUGUCUGCUUAAUUGCGUUUCAAAAUCUAAACCUGAGCGACAAGGUGCUGCUAUCGAAACUGUCUUUGAGUGUGAACUAUAAGUCUUUUGACUUAUGACCAUCACUCUAGACGUUUAUGUUUUGGUGUUGGCCCUUGAUGCUCAUUUGAACGCAACGGACGUGAUUGCAACCCCUUGUUGAGAUUUAUCCGAUCUCUACGUUCACUGAACCACACUCUUUAGCGAGAGCAGUGGGGAUGUGGAUAAACUCGGGGGACUGCUGACUAUAAACUUUUCUCAAACCAGAGGAAGGUUGCGGCAAUAACAGGUCUGUGAUGCCCUCAGAUGUUCCGGGCUGCACACGUGCUACAUUUAGUAGCGCAGUGUGCACAUUAAUAGAGUGAUAGGUUCCGUGGUUUGUACAUUUUAAGGGCUCGUCCUAGUAACCAAAGCUCCACGGGACAUAUCAACCUUCCCCUUACAGGGCGGGUAACCUCUUCGAAGUGCUGGCAUGAUUUCCCUAGUUUUGGCAUUUGAAUCCUUGUCGCAGCAGCCCUGAGACGUAGUGAACGCUGCAAAGUGAUUCCAGUCUUAGGUUUGCGACACAUGCAAUUCCUGGUUGACUCAU